AGUGGGGAAUAUUGGACAAUGGGCGAAAGCCUGAUCCAGCAAUGCCGCGUGAGUGAUGAAGGCCUUAGGGUUGUAAAGCUCUUUUACCCGGGAUGAUAAUGACAGUACCGGGAGAAUAAGCCCCGGCUAACUCCGUGCCAGCAGCCGCGGUAAUACGGAGGGGGCUAGCGUUGUUCGGAAUUACUGGGCGUAAAGCGCGCGUAGGCGGCUUUGUAAGUCAGAGGUGAAAUCCCGGGGCUCAACUCCGGAACUGCCUUUGAAACUGCAUCGCUUGAAUCCGGGAGAGGUGAGUGGAAUUCCGAGUGUAGAGGUGAAAUUCGUAGAUAUUCGGAAGAACACCAGUGGCGAAGGCGGCUCACUGGACCGGUAUUGACGCUGAGGUGCGAAAGCGUGGGGAGCAAA
rnacentral:rRNA from 1 species